rnacentral:tRNA from 1 species
GGCAAGAUGGCCGAGUGGUCUAAGGCGUAGCAUUAAGGAAGAUAUCCUGCAUACUCAGGAAGUGACCUGCUAUCUUCGGGCGUGGGUUCGAAUCCCACUCUUGUCA